rnacentral:rRNA from 1 species
CCCUUGGGGAUUUUCCGCAAUGGGCGCAAGCCUGACGGAGCAACGCCGCGUGAGGGAUGAAGGCCUCUGGGCUGUAAACCUCUUUUAUCAAGGAAGAAGAUCUGACGGUACUUGAUGAAUAAGCCACGGCUAAUUCCGUGCCAGCAGCCGCGGUAAUACGGGAGUGGCAAGCGUUAUCCGGAAUUAUUGGGCGUAAAGCGUCCGCAGGCGGCCCAGAAAGUCUGCUGUUAAAAAGUGGAGCUUAACUCCAUCAUGGCAGUGGAAACUUCUGGGCUAGAGUGUGGUAGGGGCAGAGGGAAUUCCCGGUGUAGCGGUGAAAUGCGUAGAUAUCGGGAAGAACACCAGUGGCGAAGGCGCUCUGCUGGGCCAUAACUGACGCUCAUGGACGAAAGCCAAGGGAGCGAAAGGGAUUAGAUACCCCUGUAGUC